UACCUUUCCGCUCUAAGUUCUCUGCCUUGGU
rnacentral:piRNA from 1 species